UGAUCGGCCACAUUGGGACUGAGACACGGCCCAAACUCCUACGGGAGGCAGCAGUAGGGAAUCUUCGGCAAUGGACGAAAGUCUGACCGAGCAACGCCGCGUGAGCGAAGAAGGCCUUCGGGUCGUAAAGCUCUGUUGUUAGAGAAGAACAUGGGUGAGAGUAACUGUUCACCCCUUGACGGUAUCUAACCAGAAAGCCACGGCUAACUACGUGCCAGCAGCCGCGGUAAUACGUAGGUGGCAAGCGUUGUCCGGAAUUAUUGGGCGUAAAGCGCGCGCAGGCGGUCUCUUAAGUCUGAUGUGAAAGCCCCCGGCUCAACCGGGGAGGGUCAUUGGAAACUGGGGGACUUGAGGACAGAAGAGGAGAGUGGAAUUCCAAGUGUAGCGGUGAAAUGCGUAGAUAUUUGGAGGAACACCAGUGGCGAACGCGGCUCUCUGGUCUGUUACUGACGCUGAGGCGCGAAAGCGUGGGGAGCAAACAGGAUCAGAUACCCUGGUAGUCCACGCCGUAAACGAUGAGUGCUAAGUGUUAGGGGUUUCCGCCCCUUAGUGCUGCAGUUAACGCAUUAAGCACUCCGCCUGGGGAGUACGACCGCAAGGUUGAACUCAAGGAAUUGACGGGGCCCGCACAAGCGGUGGAGCAUGUGGUUUAAUUCGAAGCAACGCGAGAACCUUACCAGGUC
rnacentral:rRNA from 1 species